rnacentral:misc_RNA from 1 species
GUUGGUGAACCAGCGGAGGGAUCAUUACCGAGUUUUCAACUCCCAAACCCCUGUGAACAUACCUAUCGUUGCUUCGGCGGACACGCCCCGGCGCCCCCGGGCCCGGACCAAGGCGCCCGCCGGAGGCCAAAAAACCACUGUGUAUUAUGUUUUCUUCUGAGUUAAACAAGCAAAUAAAUCAAAACUUUCAACAACGGAUCUCUUGGUUCUG